rnacentral:rRNA from 1 species
GUCCAUGACGCAGCUGAUGCAGCCAUGCCGCGUGAGUGAGAAGGCCUUCGGGUUGUAAAGCUCUUUUGUCGGGAAGAAGAUGUCGGGGUUGAUACCCUAGGGCCUUGACGGUACCGUGACAAAAAGCACCGGCUUACUUCAUGCCAGCAGCCGCGAUAAUAA